AGUUCCAUACCACAUGACAUUUGGUUCUGAGUUACUAGGUACCAGUGGUCAGAAGAGAGUCAUCCCAGAUGUCUCUCCUACUGAUCUUCAGUAUUUCUUGAGAUUCAUUUUUCAAUUAGCCCCAGGCCAGAUGUCCACUGGGAACUUCUGUGCUGUUCUUCAGCCUGGCCAUGGGGUCACUGUAGCCUCCAAGUCCAACAUAGUACACAAGAGCUGUGGAAGAAAGUGAGGAGGCCUCCACUACCAACAUCCAUCGCUUCCUUCCUCAGAAUAAUCUUAGGGAUUCUUACUCAUCAUUUGCCAUGAAAUACAACCAACCAGGAGGAGUAUAAAAGUGUCAAGAAGGAUUCAUCUAACAUUCUAAAAGUGUUUUACUUUUCAUUGCAUGGCUGAGAUGAGGGCUCAGUGGAUAAAGUAUGUGCCAAGCAAGCAGGAGGAUCUGUAUUUUGAGUCCCCAAACCCAUAUAGAGCCAGGCGCAACAACACUCAUCUAUACUUCAGCCAUUCAUAUGACAAAAUGGGAAACAGAGACAGAAGAAUCCCCAGAGGCUCACAGGCCAGAUAACCCACGCUCUGGACAGAAUUCAUUACUAUCUGCUCACACAGCUUUAUUACACAUAGUACAAGGCAAUAUGACCACAUAAGAGAAAUAUCUAUGCAGGCCACUUAAACCUUACAUAGGGCACUGAGAUCCAUAAUGAGAACUAUGAUCUCUAGCAUGGAUUCAAUAAAUUUCCAAUUUGAGCCUCCAAUGGGUGGAAAAGAUCUCUAUUCAUGAGCAUUAUGACACCAUACUAGGCCAUGAUGAGCUCUGUAUAGGACACUGAGCUCUAAACACAGCAGCAUGAGAUGUGCCCAUAGCACUGUAAUCUAUAUGUAAGACACCAUGAAUUUUAUGAAAGGCAUAGGACCUCUUUAAAGUAUCCUAUGCAAU